rnacentral:lncRNA from 1 species
UAAAACAGACUUACAUGCAUAAUCAACAAGAAAGACGAAGCUUCAAAGUCUUCCAUGGAGUUUUUCUCCUUCCAAAUUCGGUGAAGAAGACACAUUAAAAUGAUGAUAAAAUAUUUUGGUUUUAUUUUAAUUCAAUUAAUUUAUCAAAUUACCAUUUUUAACCUUGGUAAAUACACUUACAAUAUCACUAACACACAUCCAUAAUUGUCCAUCACAUAAACAUAUGGCAUAAAUAAACUUAUUUAUAAUUUAAUCCUAAACUAAUUAGCACUAAAAGAGUAAAUAGUCCAAAAGUUAGUGGAUUUAAA